AUGAUGUAUGGUGAUCACUGCUUCGGUGGAGCGCGAGUGAAGUUUGCGUUUGUGUUCCUGAUCCUGCUUUUGUACUUGAAACAUGCAUCGGGCGACGAAUCCCUCAUCCCGGACCAAAUCGCCGAGGAGGCGCGCGACUCCAGGCCGAGCGUCGUUGUUUGGCCAAGCACCCCCAACUCGAACGUAACUAUCGUCAGUGCUACCCGCGAUGUGGGGGCGAACUACACGCUGUCAGCGUCGCCCGCGGAGUUGGACCCGGUUCUUGUGGACGUCAACUCCACCGAGCUCCGGAGGGUGAACCGGAAACCGGACGAGCCGGAAACGGCGGAAUCGAAAAUACGCAAUGGAGUGUCCGCGCCGGAGAAGAGCAAAGCGGGGGAGUCGAAGAAGCGGCCGGAUGUGACCGGCACAGAGGGUGACCAUCGGAAAUCUAGCGCGGAGGAGGGUUCCGGACGGCUCCGGAACGAGUCAGGAACCGGGAAAUCGGAAAAGGGUGGAUCCGGACCGGAAGUGGCGGAAACGCGGAAGUCGGUUCGACGUCGGAAACCUGGCUCGGGUGCGGACGAGUCGGGGGAGGAUCCGGAAGGUCCGGCAGUGCCGGCGGAUGAGACGGAGCCCGCGAUCCGGAAGUUCAAGUCGGAGCACGAAGAUCCACCGGAGGUUCCGACGAAGGUGGAUUUCAACGGGAGCAUGGCUACCCCGGCGCCCGGAUCCGGGAUCAAGCUGGACUUCGUUCCUCGUCAGACUUACGUCCAGGUGCGACGCACGGAUAGCGUCAAGCGACUGCCCCAAAGCGCCGCCUACGCAGCUGCCAAAACACCCGAGGAACGGGACAACGCCGGCAGACUGAGGGAAGUCGUCUCUCAUAAGAAGUCUCAAGAGGUAUACGAGGAACAAGGCUACGAGGACUCAGCUUAUGAUCACGGAGGCUACAAGAAAAAGGGAGAGAUGCAAGAGGCAAAAGUUUCUCUUGACAAAGGGCAUCAUGGCACGAAUUCUAAAGUGAAUCGAAAAGGUAAAGACAAGAUUGAAGAGUCACCUGCUGCGUCAGUGCGGAAGCCCCAAUCAGAAGCACCACUUAACACCACUGCAGAAAAACUCAUUUUCUACCCGAAGGUAGAAGCUGCCAUCGAAUCUGCUAGCAACUAAAAAACCUCAGUCUCCAAGAAACCUCCGACCAGCAGCAAAAGAAGACCACAAGCUAGCCAUAGUCAUCCCGUUACGCACUACAAAAAGCAUGCAUAUACUCCACCCGAGUUUGAAGGUGCAGUCAUCGAGAAGUUUGUCGUCAUAAACGGGAAGCAAAUUCCAAUAU
rnacentral:lncRNA from 1 species